GACGGAGGAUGCAAGUGUUAUCCGGAAUCACUGGGCGUAAAGCGUCUGUAGGUGGUUUAAUAAGUCAACUGUUAAAUCUUGAGGCUCAACCUCAAAAUCGCAGUCGAAACUAUUAGGCUAGAGUAUAGUAGGGGUAAAGGGAAUUUCCAGUGGAGCGGUGAAAUGCGUAGGGAUUGGAAAGAACACCGAUGGCGAAGGCACUUUACUGGGCUAUUACUAACACUCAGAGACGAAAGCUAGGGUAGCAAAUGGG
rnacentral:rRNA from 1 species